rnacentral:rRNA from 1 species
AGAGUUUGAUCCUGGCUCAGAGUGAACGCUGGCGUUAGGCCUAACACAUGCAAGUCGAACGGCAGCACAGUAAGAGCUUGCUCUUACGGGUGGCGAGUGGCGGACGGGUGAGGAAUACAUCGGAAUCUACUUUUUCGUGGGGGAUAACGUAGGGAAACUUACGCUAAUACCGCAUACGACCUACGGGUGAAAGCAGGGGAUCUUCGGACCUUGCGCGAUUGAAUGAGCCGAUGUCGGAUUAGCUAGUUGGCGGGGUAAAGGCCCACCAAGGCGACGAUCCGUAUCUGGUCUGAGAGGAUGAUCAGCCACACUGGAACUGAGACACGGUCCAGACUCCUACGGGAGGCAUCAGUGGGGAAUAUUGGACAAUGGGCGCAUGCCUGAUCCACCCAUACCGCGUGGGUGAAGAAGGCCUUCGGGUUGUAAAGCC